AUCUGUUGUUGAUACUUUUUGUAGGUGGAUACAUACAUAAAAAAUGGCAUGGUGAUUGGAUUAGGUUCUGGUCAUGCUUCACUCUUGGCUAUACAAUACUUAGGUCAGCAGCUUCGCUCUGGUGCCAUCAAAGAUAUAGUGGGGAUACCAACAUCUAUUAGUAGUGCUAGUGAAGCAGCGAAGGCAGGAAUUCCACUGGAUUGUUAUGAAGAUACAUCUCUGAUUGAUUUUGCAUUCAAUGACGCUGAUAUCAUAGAGGAGGAAACACUUGUUGCUGUUAUUGGUCAUCGCAAGUUGCAAGGAGAAGAGUCAUUAAUUCAAGAGAAGAACAUAGUCAAUGCAGCAAAAAAACUUGCCUUCAUUGUCACUGAAAAACAGUACAAAGAUGAGUUGGAGGGUUCAGUUCCUGUUUUAGUCCAUUCUUUUAACUGGAUGGAACCUGCUGAAGAGAUUGAUGACUUAUUUUUGGGUGAUGCCGAGGUCUGGAGGAGAUCUUCGAUAGGACAUGCAGGACCGACAGGAGGUGAUUUCCCUUUGUUGACUAAAGAAGGACAUAAUAUUCUGGAUGUCAUAUUUACUUCACCAAUACUAAGCCUUGUGCAGCUGAAGUAGCUAGAAGCCUUGAGAAUAUUGGAGGGGUAAUCGACCAUGGAAUCAUUUGUAAGAUCCCAUGCACAGCGGUAAUUGCUUCACAAGAUGGUGUUUCCUUUGUGGAAAAUUCUCAAAAUAUUGAGAAAUGAACAUACCUUUAUCGGCCUUUUGGCUAAGAUCAUUGGGAAAAAGGUCCUUGAGAAAUGCCACAUUCUUGACCAUGGAAUCUCUAUGAUUUGUUUCUUCAUAGUUCUUAUAAAUUUUCUUGUGAAAUUUAUAUAGUUUGUUACAGUAUGUUGAUUGUUGAGCCUGUACAAAAUGGUCAAUAAUAUAACAAUCAUUUUUCAGCAGAAUCAGUAAAAUGCAUAAAUAUUUCUUUUUCAAUGA